rnacentral:misc_RNA from 1 species
CCCCUGAAAUAAAUACCGGUUGUACUAAAUCUACAUCUUUUGGUAGCUAUAUAUUGAGAAAUCAAAAACAAGUGGCUCGAUCAACCUAAAGGCCUUACUUUAUUACAUGUAAAUGUUAAAAUAAUGAUAAUAAUGAUCAUAUAUGCCUUUAUUAGAAUCAAAACCUAACUUGACAAUAACUAGGGCAAAUUACUUUAUAUUUUUAUUCAUAGAGUAGAUGGCAUCCACUGUUAGUAUAGUUUAUAUGCAUAUAAAAAUUAUGUUAUAUUGUCUUCUAUAUAAUGUUGAUAACUCAAUGUUUAUAUGUUGAUACUUGAUGUUGUUUUUUAUCAACGUUAUUCACGAUGAAUGAGACAAAUGUAUUUAUAUUACCCCAAGCCCAUAGAUGCUGAAAGAAUUAGUCCACCUUUAAAAGAAAAAAAAAACCCUCUCCCCUCUAUUAUGCUUGCAUUACACUUCCUGACCAUCAAAGACUCUCUAUGAUGAAGAAAGAAAGACAAAGUCUACUGCUAUGAAGGAUUUUUAGAUACACUUAUAACGUAAAUGCCAUCAUAAUAUUUUCAUCCCCCGUUUUCAGAAACAUUGAACUAUUUGUAUCUAAAUGACAUAAUAGUCUAUUUUGUAAUACGUACAUCAUGUUCUCUAAUUGUUAUUUGUUGUCAGAUCAUACUAUGUACAUAUAUCCCGGUAUGUCAAAAUGAAAAAUAAAAAUAUCCUUGUUACC